GACGGGGCGGGGAUUCCAGCCAGAGCUAGGUUCCAGCCUGGGUUGCCACCAACAGCGAAAGUGACUGCCAGGUGGCAGUAGGGUGACUUCACCAGCUUAAGUGCUUAGCGGGCAGGCGAGGAGGCGGAGCAAAAGAAGAAAACACAAAGGACGGGGAGGAAGCCGGGGAGACAGGUGGGGUACUCGGGAGGCUGGAGCUGGCCGGCCGUGCAGUCGCGGAGGAGCGAGGCCUGCAGGGCUCGGCGGCAGCGAGGGACUCGGCCUCGGAGGCGACCCUGACCACACAGGCACUGGGUCAAGGAGUAAGCAGAGGAUAAACAACUGGAAGGAGAGCAAAUACAAAGUCAUCAUGGCUUCAGUGUCUACUCGUGGAAACCAAGAUAAAGAUACCCAUUUGCCACCACCAAGCAAGCAGCUCUGCCUUUUUCUCUUGUAAGCAUGCUUGUCACCCAGGGACUAGUCUACCAAGGUUAUUUGGCAGCUAAUCCUAGAUUUGGAUCAUUGCCCAAAGUUGCACUUGCUGGUCUCUUGGGAUUUGGCCUUGGAAAGGUAUCAUACAUAGGAGUAUGACAGAGUAAAUUCUAUUUUUUUGAAGAUCAGCUUCGUGGGGCUGGUUUUGGUCCACAGCAUAACAGGCACUGCCUGCUUACCUGUGAGGAAUGCAAAAUAAAGCAUGGAUUAAGUGAGAAGGGAGACUCUCAGCCUUCAGCUUCCUAAACUCUGUGUCUGUGACUUUCGAAGUUUUUUAAACCUCUGAAUUUGUAAACAUUUAAAAUUUCAAGUGUACUUUAAAAUAAAAUACUUCUAAUGGAACAAAAA